rnacentral:sRNA from 4 species
AUGGACCAGGCGUACACCGCGGUUGCUUGCGCUGUCCGCGUUUCACCUGGCGAUUGCCCGCGACAUUUUGUUAGCC